rnacentral:rRNA from 1 species
AGGGUUUGAUCAUGGCUCAGGACGAACGCUGGCGGCGUGCUUAACACAUGCAAGUCGAACGAUGAAGUGGAGCUUGCUCCACGGAUUAGUGGCGAACGGGUGAGGAACACGUGAGAAACCUGCCUCGGAUUUUGGGAUAACAAAUGGAAACGUUUGCUAAUACCAAAUAACGUCGGAGAGUCACAUGACUUUCUGACGAAAGGAAUUCCGAUUCGAGAUGGUCUCGCGGCCUAUCAGCUAGUUGGUGAGGUAAUGGCUCACCAAGGCGACGACGGGUAGCCGGCCUGAGAGGGCGACCGGCCACACUGGGACUGAGACACGGCCCAGACUCCUACGGGAGGCAGCAGUAGGGAAUAUUGGGCAAUGGGCGCAAGCCUGACCCAGCGACGCCGCGUGAGGGAUGAAGGUCUUCGGAUUGUAAACCUCUUUCAGUAGGGAAGAAGCGAAAGUGACGGUACCUAAAGAAGAAGCACCGGCUAACUAUGUGCCAGCAGCCGCGGUAAUACAUAGGGUGCAAGCGUUGUCCGGAAUUAUUGGGCGUAAAGAGCUCGUAGGUCGUUUGUCGCGUCGAUUGUGAAAAUCUGAGGCUCAACCUCAGACCUGCAGUCGAUACGGGCAAACUAGAGUGUGGUAGGGGAGACUGGAAUUCCUGGUGUAGCGGUGGAAUGCGCAGAUAUCAGGAGGAACACCAAUGGCGAAGGCAGGUCUCUGGGCCAUAACUGACACUGAGGAGCGAAAGUGCGGGGAGCAAACAGGAUUAGAUACCCUGGUAGUCCACGCUGUAAACGAUGGGUACUAGAUUUGGUGGGUCUUGACCCCCGCUGAAUCGGAGCUAACGCACUAAGUACCCCGCCUGGGAAGUACGGUCGCAAGACUAAAACUCAAAGGAAUUGACGGGGGCCCGCACAAGCGGUGGAUCAUGUGGUUUAAUUCGAAGCAACGCGAAGAACCUUACCUGGAUUUGACAUCCUCUGACAGCUGUAGAGAUACAGUUUUAGUAGCAAUACUACAGAGAGACAGGUGCUGCAUGGCUGUCGUCAGCUCGUGUGGUGACAUGUUGGGUUAAGUCCCGCAACGAGCGCAACCCUUGUCUUUAGUUGCCAGCAUUCAGUUGGGCACUCUAAAGAGACUGCCGUGGUUAACACGGAGGAAGGUGGGGAUGACGUCAAGUCCUCAUGGCCUUUAUAUCCAGGGCGACACACGUGAUACAAUGGAUGGUACAGAGGGAAGCCAAACGGCGACGUGGAGCUAAUCUCAAAAAGCCAUUCUCAGUUCGGAUUGGAGUCUGCAACUCGACUCCAUGAAGUUGGAAUCGCUAGUAAUCGCGGAUAAGAACGCCGCGGUGAAUACGUUCCCGGGCCUUGUACACACCGCCCGUCACACCAUGGGAGCUGACUCAACCAGAAGACGGACAGGGUAACCGAAAGGAGCCCUCCGGCGAAGGUGGGGUUGGUGACUG